CAGCGGCGGAGGUGGCGGAAUAGACCGGGGUGGUGGCACAAUGCGCCCGAUUGGCGUCUUGCCAGUGCCUUUGGUCUGCCCAUCUCGCACCCUGAUGAGGCCCCAUCCUCGCUUUGCUGCUAUUGCAGCACCCCAGUAUUCUGAUUGGAGGGAGCAAGGUAGUUUGGAUGCUGCUGUGUGGAAAAGGAUUGGUGCUAUGAAGUUGGCUAGCUUUUGUAUUGAUAGUAGAGUAUAUAAAUGCACCUCGUGCAAGAAAAAUUUGUAUGAUUGUACAUAGCUCAUUGCAGACAAUUAAUAAUAUGUGAUGUACUGCAACAGUACCAUUUAGUUGUAA